rnacentral:rRNA from 1 species
GAUCAUGGCUCAGGACGAACGCUGGCGGCGUGCUUAACACAUGCAAGUCGAACGGUAAGGCCCUUCGGGGUACACGAGUGGCGAACGGGGUGAGUAACACGUGGGUGAUCUGCCCUGCACUUUGGGAUAAGCCUGGGAAACUGGGUCUAAUACCGAAUAUGACCAUGGACUUCACGGUUUGUGGUGGAAAGCUUUUGCGGUGUGGGAUGGGCCCGCGGCCUAUCAGCUUGUUGGUGGGGUAAUGGCCUACCAAGGCGACGACGGGUAGCCGGCCUGAGAGGGUGACCGGCCACACUGGGACUGAGAUACGGCCCAGACUCCUACGGGAGGCAGCAGGUGGGGAAUAUUGCACAAUGGGCGCAAGCCUGAUGCAGCGACGCCGCGUGGGGAUGACGGCCUUCGGGUUGUAAACCUCUUUCACCAGGGACGAAGCGAGAGUGACGGUACCUGGAGAAGAAGGACCGGCCAACUACGUG